UACGUAGGGUGCAAGCGUUGUCCGGAAUUAUUGGGCGUAAAGAGCUCGUAGGCGGUUUGUCGCGUCUGCUGUGAAAACCCGAGGCUCAACCUCGGGCCUGCAGUGGGUACGGGCAGACUAGAGUGCGGUAGGGGGAGAUUGGAAUUCCUGGUGUAGCGGUGGAAUGCGCAGAUAUCAGGAGGAACACCGAUGGCGAAGGCAGGUCUCUGGGCCACUACUGACGCUGAGAAGCGAAAAGCAUGGGGAGCGAACAGG
rnacentral:rRNA from 1 species